rnacentral:rRNA from 1 species
UACGUAGGGUGCAAGCGUUGUCCGGAAUUAUUGGGCGUAAGAGCUCGUAGGCGGUCUGUCGCGUCGGCUGUGAAAACCCGGGGCUCAACCCCGGGCCUGCAGCCGAUACGGGCAGACUAGAGUUCGGCAGGGGAGACUGGAAUUCCUGGUGUAGCGGUGGAAUGCGCAGAUAUCAGGAGGAACACCGGUGGCGAAGGCGGGACCUGGCCAGUUACGUCGACGACUGACGGUAGC